rnacentral:rRNA from 1 species
UACGGGGGGGGCAAGCGUUGUUCGGAAUUACUGGGCGUAAAGGGUUCGUAGGUGGCUUGCUAAGUCAGACGUGAAAUCCCUCGGCUUAACCGGGGAACUGCGUCUGAUACUGGAUGGCUCGAGAUUGGGAGAGGGAUGCGGAAUUCCAGGUGUAGCGGUGAAAUGCGUAGAUAUCUGGAGGAACACCGGUGGCGAAGGCGGCAUCCUGGACCAACACUGACGCUGAGGAGCGAAAGCCAGGGGAGCAAACGGG